AUCUCAGUGAAGAGCUCUUGACCAGGAAGUGCCGUAUGACACUGUAAACAACAGCUGCUUCUAUGGCGCUGCAAGUGUCCAUCGUUGAUCAUAACCUCUGUGGUUUGGUCUUGGAUGGGAUACCAUUUGCAUCGGCUUGAUUCAGCUGUGUGCGUGAUUUUAAACGGGUCUCUGAGGGAU